rnacentral:rRNA from 1 species
UGAGGAAUAUUGGACAAUGGGCGCAAGCCUGGUCCAGCCAUGCCGCGUGCAGGAAGAAGCAUCUAUGGUGUGUAAACUGCUUUUGUACGGGAAGAAACACUCCUUCGUGAAGGAGCUUGACGGUACCGUAAGAAUAAGGAUCGGCUAACUCCGUGCCAGCAGCCGCGGUAAUACGGAGGAUCCAGGCGUUAUCCGGAAUCAUUGGGUUUAAAGGGUCCGUAGGCGGUUUAGUAAGUCAGUGGUGAAAGCCCAUCGCUCAACGAUGGAACGGCCAUUGAUACUGCUAGACUUGAAUUACAAGGAAGUAACUAGAAUAUGUAGUGUAGCGGUGAAAUGCUUAGAUAUUACAUGGAAUACCAAUUGCGAAGGCAGGUUACUACUUGUGGAUUUACGCUGAUGGACGAAAGCGUGGGGAGCGAACA